rnacentral:lncRNA from 1 species
AUGAAGAAGACCCCAAAAUUCACUACCAGGGCUCCAGAAAUGGGAAUGGAGUUAAGAAGGAUCAGGAAUGUCGGAAUUCCCAAAAAAUCCCGGAAUUCCGGCGGAAUUCCCGCGAAAUUUGGCGGGAAAAUGGGGAAAAUCCGCGCUAAAGGCGUCGAAAUCCAGCCCAAAACGGACCCAAAGAGACCCAAAAUUCGCUCCCAGGGGUCCAGAAAUGGGAAUGGAGUUAAGGGAGAUCAGGAAUGUCGGAAUUCCCAAAAAAUCCUGGAAUUUUGGUGGAAUUCUGGCGAAAUUCCGGCGAAAUUUGGCGGGAAAAUGGUCAAAAUCCGCGCUAAAGGCGUCGAAAUCCAGCCCAAAACGGACCCAAAGAGACCCAAAAUUCACUCCCAGGGGUCCAGAAAUGGAAUUGGGAUUAAGAAGGAUCAGGAAUGGCAAAAUUCCCAAAAAAUCCCGGAAUUUUGGUGGAAUUCUGGCGAAAUUCCGGCGAAAUUUGGCGGGAAAAUGGUGAAAAUGGGUGAAAAAUGCAUCGAAAUCCAGCCCAAAAUGGUCCCAAAAAGACCCAAAAUUGCCCCAUUUGGACUUUUGGGGACAUUUUGGGGACAUUUGGGGACAUUUUGGGGGUCCCUGGUGACAUUUUGGGGACAUUUGGGGACAUUUUGGGGCCAUUUUGGGGGUCCCUGGUGACAUUUUGGGGACAUUUGGGGACAUUUUGGGGCCAUUUUGGGGUCAUUUGGGGCCAUUUGGGGACAUUUUUGGGGUCCCAGGUGACCUUGAAGAGCCCCAGGUGACAUUUUGGGUCCAUUUGGGGACAUUUUGGGGGUCCUCGGUGACAUUUUGGGGACAUUUGGGGACAUUUUGGGGACAUUUGGGACAUUUUGGGGGUCCCAGGUGACCUUGAAGGGUCCCAGGUGACAUUUUGGAGACAUUUGGGGACAUUUGGGGACAUUUUGGGGACAUUUUGGGGGUCCCAGGUGACAUUUUGGGACAUUUUGGGGACAUUUUUGGGGUCCCAGGUGACCUUGAAGAGCCCCAGGUGACAUUUUGGGUACAUUUGGGGACAUUUUGGGGGUCCUCGGUGACAUUUUGGGGACAUUUGGGGACAUUUUGGGGACAUUUGGGGACAUUUUGGGGUCCCAGGUGACAUUUUGGGGACAUUUGGGGACAUUUUGGGGACAUUUGGGACAUUUUGGGGGUCCCAGGUGACCUUGAAGGGUCCCAGGUGACAUUUUGGAGACAUUUGGGGACAUUUGGGGACAUUUUGGGGACAUUUUGGGGGUCCCAGGUGACAUUUUGGGGACAUUUGGGGACAUUUUGGGGACAUUUUGGGGGUCCCAGGUGACAUUUUGGGACAUUUUGGGGACAUUUUUGGGGUCCCAGGUGACCUUGAAGAGCCCCAGGUGACAUUUUGGGUACAUUUGGGGACAUUUUGGGGGUCCUCGGUGACAUUUUGGGGACAUUUGGGGACAUUUUGGGGACAUUUGGGGACAUUUUGGGGUCCCAGGUGACAUUUUGGGGACAUUUUGGGGACAUUUGGGGACAUUUCGGGGGUCCCAGGUGACAUUUUGGGACAUUUUGGGGACAUUUGGGGACAUUUUGGGGGUCCCAAGUGACAUUUUGGGGACAUUUUGGGCCAUUUUGGGGACAUUUGGGGACAUUUUGGGGACAUUUCGAGGGUCCCAGGUGA